rnacentral:rRNA from 1 species
UACGAAGGGGGGCUAGCGUUGCUCGGAAUCACUGGGCGUAAAGCGCACGUAGGCGGAUCUUUAAGUCAGGGGUGAAAUCCUGGAGCUCAACUCCAGAACUGCCUUUGAUACUGGGGAUCUCGAGUCCGGAAGAGGUGAGUGGAACUCCGAGUGUAGAGGUGAAAUUCGUAGAUAUUCGGAAGAACACCAGUGGCGAAGGCGGCUCACUGGUCCGGUACUGACGCUGAGGUGCGAAAGCGUGGGGGAGCAAACA